rnacentral:tRNA from 1 species
GGGGCGGUAGUCUAGCCCGGUCAAGACUCUCGACUUUUAAUCGAGAUGCCGUGGGUUCAAAUCCCACCCGCCCCAC